AAGAAAGAAAGAAAUGCUGGUCUGGGAAUAAGAAUAUGGGAUUGGAAUGGAAGACUCCAUACCAGAUUUCGUGGCUACCAGGGCCAGCACGUUUUCAAGGAAACAGUUGUUUCAGUUUUGGAGGCUAAGCCUGAAAGAUGAUGUGAAAGGAAAAAGGUUUCCCUGUGCACCUAAGGGAGGUAUUUGAUGAAGACCUCCAAUUCAAACUCUCUUUCUGACUGUAUGCCUCUGCAUUUCUUCCUAUCUGCUACUGAAGGAACAAUCUUUGUUGAAGACUGAAUAAGGCACUAAUCUAUUAAUAUAGUUAGACAUUAUUAGGAAUAAUUUUAUUGAUUAUUUUAUUGAUUAUCUUAAAAGAACAAUAGAAUUUUGUUUUACCCUAGGUCUGCGAGCUCUCAGUUCUCUGGUUCUUGGUUACACAGCAUUGUUUGGUAUAAGUUUCCUCUCAUGGAAUAGGUCCUAAGUCAGAUAAGGCAUGGGUUGUCUACUCAGACAAGUUUUGCGCCAUCAUUGCCCUUUCAUAUUGCAGGCAGACCAAAUACUAGGUUAAAGGUUUUUGGCUACGGUGCUUUCCAUAUGUAUCAUUGUAAAGAGAACCUGUCAACACAAAUGGGGCUAGAGCAUAGGGGUGAAGGCUUCAUGGAGGCACCAGCUCACCUUCAGCAUGUUCAAUGAAUUCUAUGAGUGUUGUCCUCAUCAAUAGGGUUCCUCUGUCAGUUUGCAUAGAGCAAACUUUUGUCUAACAGCAUGAGUUGUUUUUAUAUUUCCAUGGGACCCCCUUGGCCAAAAACUCAAUUGAAUACUACACAAUCCUACUUCUGGAACCCUUUCCUGGCUUCAAGAGAUGACCAGUUGAGAUUACAUCCCCCAUAGCUAGUAGUCCUCAUUAAAAUCAUCUUUAUAGAUUCCAGGAAGUUUACACCACAGUAGGUUUCCCCUCAACUCUUGAAUGGCAUAGGGGUGAUGGAGGAUUUACCCUGAGAGUGGGAAAUAGAAGAGAUUUUAUGGGAAGGCUGCGGAUGGUUGGGGGCAGGGUCUGGAGAUUAGAAAUCAAAGCCCUUUCCUAGUGUACUAAAAUUCCUUAUUUAAAAGAUUUAAGUAUGGAUGCAAACAGGGGUAGUUUAUUAGAGUUUAACAGAAAACCCUAAGCAGGUGAAUUGUAAAUCAUGCAGCCAUCAUGGAGGAGGAGAAUAAAGAAAAGGAAGAAAUAUCAUGCUGUUUAAAAAAAAAAAAAAACAACAA